AGCGAACGCUGGCGGCAGGCCUAACACAUGCAAGUCGAACGAACUCUUCGGAGUUAGUGGCGGACGGGUGAGUAACACGUGGGAACGUGCCUUUUGGUUCGGAAUAACUCAGGGAAACUUGUGCUAAUACCGAAUGUGCCCUUCGGGGGAAAGAUUUAUCGCCAUUAGAGCGGCCCGCGUCUGAUUAGCUAGUUGGUGAGGUAACGGCUCACCAAGGCGACGAUCAGUAGCUGGUCUGAGAGGAUGACCAGCCACACUGGGACUGAGACACGGCCCAGACUCCUACGGGAGGCAGCAGUGGGGAAUCUUGCGCAAUGGGCGAGAGCCUGACGCAGCCAUGCCGCGUGAAUGAUGAAGGUCUUAGGAUUGUAAAAUUCUUUCACCGGGGACGAUAAUGACGGUACCCGGAGAAGAAGCCCCGGCUAACUUCGUG
rnacentral:rRNA from 1 species